UACGGGGGGAGCAAGCGUUGUUCGGAUUUACUGGGCGUAAAGGGCGCGUAGGCGGUCGUGACAAGUCACUUGUGAAAUCUCCGGGCUUAACUCGGAACGGUCAAGUGAUACUGUCGGACUAGAGUACAGAAGGGGCAACUGGAAUUCUCGGUGUAGCGGUGAAAUGCGUAGAUAUCGAGAGGAGCACCUGCGGCGAAGGCGGGUUGCUGGGCUGAUACUGACGCUGAGGAGCGAAAGCGUGGGGAGCGAACAGG
rnacentral:rRNA from 1 species